AUACUGAACUGAACCCUUUUUUUCCAAAGCCAAAAACGAAACCUUCUUCUCCAAACCAAAUCUGCUGCUGCCGAAUGCCGAUCCAACCUUAGAACAACCAGGAAGAACAUGGUCAAUGAAGUUCCCGCCAGGAUCGACACUCCCGCCACUAAUUUCCAUCUAGGAACGUGUUUUGCCCGUUGACCGGUGGUGUAUCCCGCCACCGUCACCUGCAAAGUUUUGGGUAAUGGUUUGCAUCUUUGCCUAUGGUCAAACAGGAUCAGGCAAAACAUAUACCAGUUGGCUAGAAGCUGUUUCAAUCCAACUGUUCUUUCAGGCAUACUGUGGCUGGACCCUGCGGAUUGUGUUUCAUUAGGACUGUCAGUGG